CAGCCGCCGCGGUAAUACGAAGGGUGCAAGCGUUAAUCGGAAUUACUGGGCGUAAAGCGUGCGUAGGCGGUUUGUUAAGUCUGUUGUGAAAUCCCUGGGCUCAACCUGGGAAUGGCAAUGGAUACUGGCAAGCUAGAGUGUGUCAGAGGAUGGUGGAAUUCCCGGUGUAGCAGUGAAAUGCGUAGAUAUGCGGAGGAACACCGAUGGCGAAGGCAGCCCCCUGGGCCAACACUGACGCUCAUGCACGAAAGCGUGGGGAGCAAACAGGAUUAGAUACCCCUGUAGUCCCUGUCUCUUAUAC
rnacentral:rRNA from 1 species